rnacentral:rRNA from 1 species
CCUACGGGUGGCAGCAGUGAGGAAUAUUGGUCAAUGGACGAGAGUCUGAACCAGCCAAGUAGCGUGAAGGAUGACUGCCCUAUGGGUUGUAAACUUCUUUUAUAUGGGAAUAAAAUGUUCCACGUGUGGGAUUUUGUAUGUACCAUAUGAAUAAGGAUCGGCUAACUCCGUGCCAGCAGCCGCGGUAAUACGGAGGAUCCGAGCGUUAUCCGGAUUUAUUGGGUUUAAAGGGAGCGUAGGUGGAUUGUUAAGUCAGUUGUGAAAGUUUGCGGCUCAACCGUAAAAGUGCAGUUGACACUGGCAGUCGUGAGUACAGUAGAGGUGAGCGGAAUUCGUGGUGUAGCGGUGAAAUGCUUAGAUAUCACGAAGAACUCCGAUUGCGAAGGCAGCUCACUGGACUGCAACUGACACUGAGGCUCGAAAGUGUGGGUAUCAAACAGGAUUAGAUACCCCGGUAGUC